UUGCGAUAUUUGCAAAAGAUUAAGCUCAAUUUGCCAGUUUGAUUGAAAAGAGCGUCCCAAUUGGGCUGGAUCCUUAAUCUCACAGACCAUAGCCCAACAGCCAGGCUACCACAAAUAACCCAUGCAAGAAACUGUAAAAGAAAAUUUCAUCUUCUCCCCCAUCGUUGGUCUGUAACUCUGAAGUUUGUAGCAGGAACAGGGAAUGGCAACCAACUCAUGUUUCCAACUGUUUCAUCAUCUAACGGUAAACCCAGUCUAGGGUUGGUGUUUCUGGACUCGUCAGAGCCGCCUCUGCCACCUCCUCCGCUCUCCAUCGAAGUCCUUUCCUCGGAGAUACCGAUUUCCAAGCUCCAGUCUUUGAUUUUUAAGUAAACGCGGACUUAAGCUACGGAAAGCUGUUCACUCUAAGGUUCAGAAUGGCCACCUAUCAUUUGAGGGAAAGCUGAGUCUUUGAGUUGGGCUCCUAAUUUUCAGGUGAUUUUAUAUGGCUCAACAAUACGAAAGCAUGAUUAUACUCGACAUACCUAGAUAUUGGCUUCACUUCUGGAUUCCUAUUUGUCACCCUAACGGAUGUGAUAUAUUGUUUGUGUUAUUAUUAGGGUUCCUAACAAAGGGGCAUGUUGCUAUGUGUGAACUGAAUCUUUAAAAAAUGCACAGGCAGAAUAAUUAAAAGCCUGCACAAUUUCCUAGGUUUUUACCACCCAACUCCUUGUUGACACACUAACAUGCUUGAUUAGUUGAGACACUAAAGUUACUAGUGAAUACCACAUUGAUGUUCAGGGAAUUUUUUCUUUUCUACUGGUUUUAUUUUAUUGUUAACCUUCUGCAUAAAUCAAUACUAGCUUCCCCUUUAUAACUGUUGUUAUUCAAAUCUCUUGAUUGUUUGAAUGUUGCAAGUAGACUUAUGUGAUACUAGAGUAGCAUAUGAACUUUUGUAGUACAUUAUUUACAGAACAUGAUUUCUAGUAUACAUGAUAUUCUAUUUUGAUUCUGGUUAGCUCUUCUCAACCAGGGGGAUUUGAUUGGGGAAGCAAUUGCCAUUGUCUCUCCAAUAGAUUUAACUUCUAAUGAGAAUGGCUUGAAAUGGUGAAUUUAUAUUUAGACAAAUGUUGAUAAUAUCUUGGCUUGUCUUUUCUUGCCACUACCUGCUGAGUUCUUCUAAUUGUUUUCGGCUUGGAUGUGGUCACGAACUUCCUGGGAUAUAUGCAUGUCUUGAGUGGUUGGCUCUUAGCUAAAUGGUGAUAGAAGGGAGUGCUAGGAAGGUAAUAGUUUAGACCUUUCUUAUCAGGGCUGUGCUAUAAAUUCCACCUGGCAGGAAAUUGAAGAAUCAUCCAACACCACAGCUGUAAAGUCUCUUAUAUGGUCUUGUUUGAUUGAAGAAUUGUGGCUUCUUGAACCAAUAUGCUUAUUAGACUGGUCAAAAUUUUGGAAGUGAAGAAAUGAGUAAAAAAGGUAUUCUGCUUUAGCAUCUGUAUCUUCCUUUUGCAUUUUGUUUCUGGCUGGUAGAACUUGUGGAACAAGUUGAUAUUGACCUUACAAUUGCUUUGGGACAGCAACAUUGGUACCCGUGGCCGUGGGACAUGGUGUACUUAAAAAUUGUUAAUGGUAACAAAAACACAGAAUUGAAAGAUUGAGAAGAAUAAAUUUAGAUACUACUAUUAUUAUCUCUGCAUAUUGUCAAAGUUUUACAUGUGUGCAAGCUGGCUUUCACUUUUAUCUACUCAAAUAAUGAUUGACAAGUUAAUUAUUAGUGAUGGUUAGUAUGGUAUGUUCUAACCCUGUAUCAGUUUGCAGCUUCUUUCUUCUUUUUUUUUUUUUUUUUGGGUAUUUGAGGUUGCUAAGGAUUGAUCUUUGGUUACUGAAAUUAGGAGUUAAGCACUCUACCAACAUACCGACAACUGUUGGCUUCUUUCUUUCUUUCUUUUCAUUUUCGACCCAUUGCAACUUUUUGUUUUCCUAGGCCUUUUCCUUUCUGAUGCUGAGACAACUUUAAGUUCUUCCCCUAAUUCAAUUAUAAAAUGGAAGUUUGAGUUUGCUCCCCAGUAACUGGUCUUACCCUAACUCAUGCACUCUUUUUAUUUCAACUAUAGAACUUUGCUUGGCUUUGUUGCCUACAGGUGAGAUUCUUCACCCAAUAAGCCUUGCAUGCGUACCGACUUGACUUUCUUAUUGCAAUAAUAGUGUAUAUGCUUGACUGAGCUACGAUAAGGUUUUUUAUAGAUUUUUGACAUUUUUUUCCUCAGUAAAGGAAUGCCCCUUUCUUAAUUGACACUAUAAAUCUGACAUUUUGAGAAUAUACAAGGUACAUAAAAUUGAAGAGAAAACUCAACAGGUAGGCCAGCUGAUAAUUAUAGUUUCUCUCCUUUUUAAUUUAUAGAGUUAGAAAUAUUUCUUUGAUAUUAUCAAAUACUUUUUAUGGAAUUUGUUAUAAUUUUGAACUUUAGUCACUCAAACAAGUCAUGGACUGGACAAACAUAUAAAUUGAUGAGUAGCUGCCUUGUCUAAUGAUGCUUGCUGCUAUACUUAGGAUCUGAAAUUGCUUUCCUUUAUGAUUUCAUUGUCUGAUUAGCAAUGUGGAGUUUUGGGUGGCUAUGCUACCAUUUUCCAUUAAAUUGGAACAUAAGAAACUUAUAGAGCUUAAGAAUGAUAAAUUGGUAACAGCGGAAAGAAGGGACUUUUUUUUAUUGGUAUUUGAUGCUGCCAGGGUUUAAUCUCAGAUCAUUGGAACUAAGAGUCCAGCACUCUACCAACACAUCAUAUGACUGUUGUUGAAGAUGGGACUUUAAUAAUUUAAGAAUGGUGAUAAACACUAUUCAUGUUGACAAAAUAUGUUAAAAAAAUCUUGUAAAAACUUGAGUAUAGUUGGAAAUUGUACUCUAUUAAAAUUCCUUGGCCUUAUUACUUGUAGAGGAAAAUUUCAGGUAUUAGUUUUUUUAUCUACUUUUCCUUGUUUACUAUCUGGAAUGGAAAAAUCAGAUCAGCAAUAGGCAGAAAACAAAUAUGAACCUUUAGAACAUUGAGACUAUGAAAUUGAGAAAAAUACAG